rnacentral:lncRNA from 1 species
AACUAUUUUAUUUUGUGCAUUUUGUUUAGUAGGAGUGAAAGGACAUUGGUUCAAUAUGGUCCAUAGUUUAUAGUCUUCAGUUGUCAGGAAGUCUUCUAUUCUUGCUUUCCACCAGAUGUAAUAUUUUCCAUUUAACAGGGGUGACCUAGUAGUUGAUUGUCCUUCAUUACUUUCGGAUGGAGCACUCAUCUUGCUUCCAAGAUCUCUCUAGGCGUUAGCUGUGCAAAUGAGAGAACCUGCUCUGAUACCAAUUAUUAGUGUGAGUGUCCGUAUGAAUUACUAAGAAUUUAUUACCAUGUUCCUUAAGCGUAAAGUAAAUAGAUAGCAAAAUGAACACCUUAAUUUCACGUGAAAAAUCACCCAACUCAAAAGGUACAAAAAUUACAAUCUACCACGUAGGAUUUCAG